UGCACUGCAUGGUAUCUGCAUUCAAUAGUGUAUUCUUGCUGGGUGUUCAAAGGGCAGUGCAGUAUAAAUUCAGUAUCUGGCAUCAUUGGCUUUUUUUGGCUUUGUGCAUGCUAAACCUGCUAUUUUUAUUGAGACACUA